rnacentral:rRNA from 1 species
ACGCUCGACACCUACGGAGGCAGCAGUGGGGAAUAUUGCACAAUGGGGGAAACCCUGAUGCAGCGACGCCGCGUGAAGGAAGAAGUAUCUCGGUAUGUAAACUUCUAUCAGCAGGGAAGAAAAUGACGGUACCUGACUAAGAAGCCCCGGCUAACUACGUACCACGCAGCCGCGGUAAUCUGAGCGGGCUGGCAAGGC